UGGUUGGGGUGAUGGCCUACCAAGGCGACGACGGGUAGCCGGCCUGAGAGGGCGACCGGCCACACUGGGACUGAGACACGGCCCAGACUCCUACGGGAGGCAGCAGUGGGGAAUAUUGCACAAUGGGCGGAAGCCUGAUGCAGCGACGCCGCGUGAGGGAUGACGGCCUUCGGGUUGUAAACCUCUUUCAGCAGGGACGAAGCGUAAGUGACGGUACCUGCAGAAGAAGCGCCGGCCAACUACGUGCCAGCAGCCGCGGUAAGACGUAGGGCGCGAGCGUUGUCCGGAUUUAUUGGGCGUAAAGAGCUCGUAGGCGGCUUGUCGCGUCGACCGUGAAAACUUGGGGCUCAACCCCAAGCCUGCGGUCGAUACGGGCAGGCUAGAGUUCGGUAGGGGAGACUGGAAUUCCUGGUGUAGCGGUGAAAUGCGCAGAUAUCAGGAGGAACACCGGUGGCGAAGGCGGGUCUCUGGGCCGAUACUGACGCUGAGGAGCGAAAGCGUGGGGAGCGAACAGGAUUAGAUACCCUGGUAGUCCACGCUGUAAACGUUGGGCGCUAGGUGUGGGGGGCCUCUCCGGUUCCCUGUGCCGCAGCUAACGCAUUAAGCGCCCCGCCUGGGGAGUACGG
rnacentral:rRNA from 1 species